AUAUCUCUCUGUACGGGAAGGAUGAGAAGCUUCGACUAAGGUUCGAUUCGAGCGCAGCGAGAAAGCGUUGCCGCAGGCAACGACCCGAAGGGCUAAGCGCGCAGCGCUGAGUCAUCCUUCCCCCACCACCA
rnacentral:sRNA from 1 species